rnacentral:lncRNA from 1 species
GUUGCUUUGAAGAAAAUAUGGCUCUCUUGGACAGUGUGAGAAGAACAGAAGACAGAUAGGACUUCUGUGCCAACCGAAACUAUGGUUUGAGCUUGUCUUUAUGCAAAAACUUCCUACCAGGGACACAAAAUGUUACUUUUGCCUCAAACACAUGGCUGCUGACCUCCAGCAUCCACCAGCCUUCUUGGGGUUCCCCACCUGGAGUCCCUUGUAGCAGGUGGAGCUGUCUGAGAUGGAAGAUAUGGAGAUGAGCUUCCCAGACCAAGAAAUCUUGCUGGGGUGCCAAGGCAAGCCAGACUCAAGGUGCUGCAGGGCUUAUUCCAGCUGGACCCACACUCCCCCUGCCUGCAGCCCCAGGGGCUCUUCUGAAUCUCAGGCUGCUCCUGGUGGGCCCAAGCUUCACAGUGCUUAGUUCAGGGUUUGAGAUGGCCAUUAGGGAGCAGCAGGGGCAGGCACAAGGCAGGAGCUGAGGGUGCUUGAGUGAGGUGACAGGGCUGGGUGGCCACAGCAGCAGGUUCCUAACAGCCCCAUAGUGCAGGAAGGACAGACAGUAUGUCAGGAGCAUCAGGGACUGGGCACAAACCAUGGCACAGCAUUCAGCUGUGGCUUGAGAACUCAGGCCUGAACCAAAGCAGGGCUCUUAGCAGUUAGUGAGCGGACCAGGUGAGACUUGUCAGGGUGAGCAAACUCCAUUAAUGCCUCCAGGGCCCUGCAAACUGCUUGGUCCCACCUGUGGAGGAGUGGAGGUGUAACCUCCAAGUAUAACUAGACCUCCAAUCAAUAUAUAUCCCCCUGGAAAGCUGUCAGGAGGAAUGGAGCUCCAUUAGUAGAAGGUAGAGUGUCUUUGUGCCUAAGAGCUAUCUUGCUGCUUCAAAGACUGAAUGCUGUCUGCUGCCCUGAAGGUGAUUGCAUGCAGCUUGGUUGGGCUGGCAUCUCAUUAUCCCUCUGCUGUAGGCUUCCAGCAGCUCCCUAAGCAGGGAGGUUUGAAGUUGUGCUCUCCCGGUGAGAUGAAAGAGGACACCCAGCAGUCUUUUCCCAGGUUUGCUCUCAAGACAGAGGCUUCACCUUUCUGUCCACCAGUCAGGAAGACACUGGUCUUCAGCCAGCAAUUUUGGACCCCACCUCUGCACUGUGACUGGGUUUCAGAUAUCCUUUGGAUCCGCUGCCUUUCAGGCAGCCUGCUCCACGAGGCUCCAGCAAUUAAGAAUGGUGAGGAACGAGCUGGACAGGAAUUGUUCUGAUGGAGAGAAGCCUGCUGUGCAGCCUGGCUGGUAAGACCUGAUGCCCACCAUUGCCAACAGCAUCACAGAAUGGGGACAGGUGCUCACUGGGUGGGAUGAGCACUGGUAAUUCCUGGAGCACAUCUCUCUGCUGGAAAUACUUUGCCUAGAAAGUGCCUUUCUCUUCAUGGCUGUGUUGUUUGGUGGCAUUUUAGUGAACCUAAUGGCUAAUAGCUUCAGAUCCUGCUUUCCAACAGCCCUGCUUGUAAGCCAGAGUCCCCAGGAUGGAUUUGUGCAUGGAUGUGCAGAGCUGCAGGCAGGUAUUUCUCCUGGCACUUGGUGCCAUUUGUUCCUCCUCACAUGGCAAUCAGUUCCUUUCUGUAUUUUUUGCUGCCUUGUCACUUCUUUAGCUCUGUCCCCACGUUUAGUCUAUGGCCAGCUACAAAAAGUGAACAUGCUGAGUCCAAGAUCAGGGGCAAACACUUAAGCAACCUCCUUCCAGCCCAGUAUUUCCUUGAUAUGUGCAACUCCUUGUUCUUCCCUAAUCAAAUUCUCAUCUAUCUAGCUGUCACACCU